GCAUGGGUUUGGAUUUAUGGCAAUCCUGUUCCCCUGGACCUCUCAUAGUGUCCCAUGCCAGAGCAAACUGAAGCCCCAAACCAUUGCCUGGUCUUGUCCAUAGACCUUGGCACUAAAGUGGUUUUCACAGUG
rnacentral:snoRNA from 1 species